GGAUUUGGAAAGAGAUUAGAAAGUUCGUCAAUACGUUCUAAAGCCUUUUUUGAUUUUAGUGCAAUAGUUUUGAGGAUAUAGGCCUUUAAACAACGAACUGUUCCGGAGUCCCAGCCUCCUGGGGUCUAAACACGGCUAUUGAAUUUGGCCUUUUUCGAAACUGUCCAUUGUGCACAGGAGCCUGGGACUCAGGAACUGUAGGUAGUUUAGAGGCUUGUAUCUUCGAAAUUAU